GACGAACGCUGGCGGCGUGCUUAACACAUGCCAGUCGAACGGAAAGGCCCUGCUUUUGUGGGGUGCUCGAGUGGCGAACGGGUGAGUAACACGUGAGUAACCUGCCCUUGACUUUGGGAUAACUUCAGGAAACUGGGGCUAAUACCGGAUAGGAGCUCCUGCUGCAUGGUGGGGGUUGGAAAGUUUCGGCGGUUGGGGAUGGACUCGCGGCUUAUCAGCUUGUUGGUGGGGUAGUGGCUUACCAAGGCUUUGACGGGUAGCCGGCCUGAGAGGGUGACCGGCCACAUUGGGACUGAGAUACGGCCCAGACUCCUACGGGAGGCAGCAGUGGGGAAUAUUGCACAAUGGGCGGAAGCCUGAUGCAGCAACGCCGCGUGCGGGAUGACGGCCUUCGGGUUGUAAACCGAUUUCGCCUGUGACGAAGCGUGAGUGACGGUAAUGGGUAAAGAAGCACCGGCUAACUACGUG
rnacentral:rRNA from 1 species